rnacentral:rRNA from 1 species
AGAGUUUGAUCCUGGCUCAGGAUGAACGCUGGCGGCGUGCUUAACACAUGCAAGUCGAACGAAGCACUUUACCUUGAUUCCUUCGGGUUGAUUGGUACUGUGACUGAGUGGCGGACGGGUGAGUAACGCGUGGGUAACCUGCCCCAUACAGGGGGAUAACAGAUAGAAAUGUCUGCUAAUACCGCAUAAGACCACAGCACCGCAUGGUGCAGGGGUAAAAACUCCGGUGGUAUGGGAUGGACCCGCGUCUGAUUAGCUAGUUGGUGAGGUAAAGGCUCACCAAGGCGACGAUCAGUAGCCGACCUGAGAGGGUGACCGGCCACAUUGGGACUGAGACACGGCCCAAACUCCUACGGGAGGCAGCAGUGGGGAAUAUUGCACAAUGGGGGAAACCCUGAUGCAGCGACGCCGCGUGAAGGAUGAAGUAUUUCGGUAUGUAAACUUCUAUCAGCAGGGAAGAAAAUGACGGUACCUGACUAAGAAGCCCCGGCUAACUACGUGCCAGCAGCCGCGGU